UGUUUUGGAAUGAUUACCAACUCCCACACUUAAAAGGGGCAGCUGUGAACUAAAAUUGAGAAAUCAUUCCAGAACAUUGUACAAAGUAAUCCUACUACUGUACUACUUCACCUAUCCCACACGGCAUGGUAUAGUGCCGGUCUAUGCUUCAACCAGUGCACCAUCUCCCUGUCUACGGGAGAUUUGCUCAUUACUGCAUCUAGCAUUGGGCUUCCAAUAACUUUUGGACAACUCUUGAAUGACCAUAUUUGAUCCUUGGACCAGGGCUUCCCAGGGUUCUUUUCCAUCCUUUCCAGCAUAAGCUUCACAGUCUUUGGACCAUAAACGCGCUGCUGUGAUGGCUUCUGAAUCUUGGCAUAGAAUGAACCAAUGUCAGGUAAAGACAAGCAGCCCCUACCUGCCUUAGCCAGGCUACAAUCUGGUUCAGCAUUAGUCUGUAUAUGCCAAUAGAU
rnacentral:misc_RNA from 1 species